rnacentral:tRNA from 1 species
GGGGAUGUAGCUCAGUGGUAGAGCACUUGCUUUGCAUGUAUGAAGUCCAGGGUUCAAUCCCCUGCAUCUCCA